AUGAGCAAUUCUGUGAAUGGGGAAGCAGUUUGUCCCAAAACCCCGUCCGUCUUUCCCCUCACCUCCUGCUCCCCUGAAGCCAACACCACCCACGUCACCUUCGGCUGCCUGGUCAAUGGCUAUUUCCCUGAGCCGGUCUCUGUGGAGUGGAGCCCCAGCAUCGGCUCAACGGGUCUGAAGACCUACCCGUCCAUGAAGCACACUUCUGGCGACCUCUACUCACUCAGCAGCCAAGCCACCGUCCUGGCCAGCAGCUGGGAAUCCAACACCUAUCGCUGCAAUGUCAAGCACGAGCCCACCAGCUCCACCAUCACCAAGGAAAUCCCAAACGUCCUCGUCUUCAUCGUGCCCCCAGAACCUUCUGAACUCUAUACGGCUGGCAGCCCCACACUCACCUGCCUGGUUGUCAACCUGCCUAACAACGAUCCACUGAAAGUGGAAUGGACCAAAGAGAAGUUAGGGUCCACUAACAACACCAACCCCUCCAUGGAUUUGCAGAGAAACCACACCUUCUCUGCCAACAGUACACUGUCCAUUACGGAGAAGGAGUGGGAGGAUGGAGAGCAAUACAGAUGCAAAGUGAAGUACUCGGGGCUGCCCUCACCCAUCAUCAAAUCCAUCUCCAAGUACCAAGGAACGAGCUUUGCUCCGAGUGUCUACCUCCUGCGCCCCCACCCUGAUGAAGUGAAAAGCAACAGCAAUGGGGAUACUGUCAGCCUCACCUGCCUGGUGAGGGGCUUCUACCCCAAGGACAUCUCAGUGAAGUGGAUGGAGAAUAACAAAUCCAGCGACCGCAACAAAUCUGUCACCACCUCGCCCAUGAAGGAAGGAGAUGGCGACUCGACCUACUUCCUCUAUAGCAAGAUGACAGUUGACAAGGCCAGUUGGAAGAAAGGAACCACCUUCACCUGCAUGGUCAUCCAUGAAGCCCUGAAACCAAUGAAAUUCACCCAACAAAACAUCUGCCAUGAAGACGGUAAAUGCUGAUGGCUUCUCCCAGCCCCACUGCUAGCAUUGUGCGGUAGAGCUUC